rnacentral:lncRNA from 1 species
AUUUAUGCAGGAGUACUUCUCGCGGAUAAGAAAAAGAAAAAUGUUUUUUUAUCAACCAAAUAACCACAACUUUCUAUGGUGUAUUUUAAAUAAAUUUUUAAAAUCUGAAAUAGUGAUGUGAAGGAUAAUUUGGGAAGGAAAGAAGUUUCAAGGUUUUUUUCAAAAUCAAUUUCUAAACUCUUCAUCUUUUUCUUUUUACAUUUCUUGUUGUUCUCUUUCCAUUUCUGAUUGUUUUUUCUUUCUCAUCAUUUGUCCUUCUUUCUCACCAAUCGUAACCUUUACUAUCAACCUCUACUGAUUAUCUCUCUUCUUCAUCUCACUCUUUCUCUUCUCCUAUUGACAACUUUCAGUUUUUUUAUUCUCUCUGUCUCGACAUUUUUCCUUCGCUUCUCACUUCCUGUGACGUCGAUGGUCACCUCCACCGUCACCUACAUUAUUGCUCAACCAAUGUUUUUCCAUUCCCCCUCUCUCGCCCUCUCAACUAGGAAGAAGUAAAAGUGAUUCCUUUUCCGAACAUGUGGACAUUUUUUGGUGAAAGAAGGGGUCUAAGAUAGUGUUGAGGUGCGUAGAAUCAUAAAGUCAUGUGUUAUACUCUCUCUUUGUGUUAUUGUUGUUAUUGAUGAUUGAGUUGCCGUUUGACUCUUUUUUAUGUUGAAAUUGCGUUAUUGUAGAACUACAGUGUUGAGGUGCUUGUUGUUUUACUAUUUUAUGUUGCUUUGUAAAGGUUGUUGGUGAUGAAU